CCUACGGGAGGCAGCAGUGGGGCAUAUUGCACAAUGGGGGGAACCCUGAUGCAGCCAUGCCGCGUGGGUGAAGAAGCACUCCGGUGCGUAAAGCCCUGUCAGCAGGGAAGAAAAUGACAUUACCUGACCAAGAAGCCCCGGCUAACUACGUGCCAGCAGCCGCGGUAAUACGGCGGGUGCAACCGUUAUCCGGAUUUACUGGGUGUAAUGGGAGCGCAGGCGGUAUGACAAGUCAGAGGUGAAAACCCAGGGCCCAACCCUGGGACUGCAUUUGAAACUGCCAUACUGGAGUGCCGGAGAGGUAAGUGGAAUGCCUGGUGUAGCGGUGAAAUGCGUAGAUAUUAUGAGGAAAACCAGUGGCGAAGGCGGCUUACUGGACGGCAACUGACGCUGAGGCUCGAAAGCGUGGGGAGCAAACAGGAUUAGAUACCCGUGUAGUC
rnacentral:rRNA from 1 species